CAGGUAGGCGGCUUCGUAUGUCCUUUGUGAAAUCCCUCGGCUCAACCGAGGAAUUGCAGGGGAAACUGCGGGGCUUGAGUCCGGGAGAGGGGAGUGGAAUUCCCAGUGUAGCGGUGAAAUGCGUAGAUAUUGGGAGGAACACCAGUGGCGAAGGCGGCUCCCUGGACCGGUACUGACGCUGAGCUGCGAAAGCUAGGGGAGCGAACG
rnacentral:rRNA from 1 species